rnacentral:rRNA from 1 species
UGGGGAAUAUUGGACAAUGGGCGCAAGCCUGAUCCAGCCAUGCCGCGUGUGUGAAGAAGGCCUUUUGGUUGUAAAGCACUUUAAGCGAGGAGGAGGCUCCUAUAGUUAAUACCUAUAGUGAGUGGACGUUACUCGCAGAAUAAGCACCGGCUAACUCUGUGCCAGCAGCCGCGGUAAUACAGAGGGUGCAAGCGUUAAUCGGAUUUACUGGGCGUAAAGCGUGCGUAGGCGGCUUUUUAAGUCGGAUGUGAAAUCCCUGAGCUUAACUUAGGAAUUGCAGUCGAGACUGGGAAGCUAGAGUAUGGGAGAGGAUGGUAGAAUUCCAGGUGUAGCGGUGAAAUGCGUAGAGAUCUGGAGGAAUACCGAUGGCGAAGGCAGCCAUCUGGCCUAAUACUGACGCUGAGGUACGAAAGCAUGGGGAGUAAACA